rnacentral:rRNA from 1 species
AGCGAACGCUGGCGGCAGGCUUAACACAUGCAAGUCGAGCGGGCGUAGCAAUACGUCAGCGGCAGACGGGUGAGUAACGCGUGGGAACAUACCUUUUGGUUCGGAACAACACAGGGAAACUUGUGCUAAUACCGGAUAAGCCCUUACGGGGAAAGAUUUAUCGCCGAAAGAUUGGCCCGCGUCUGAUUAGCUAGUUGGUGAGGUAACGGCUCACCAAGGCGACGAUCAGUAGCNGGUCUGAGAGGAUGAUCAGCCACAUUGGGACUGAGACACGGCCCAAACUCCUACGGGAGGCAGCAGUGGGGAAUAUUGGACAAUGGGCGAAAGCCUGAUCCAGCCAUGCCGCGUGAGUGAUGAAGGCCCUAGGGUUGUAAAGCUC